rnacentral:rRNA from 1 species
CCUGCCCAGGCAGAGAGACCCGCGAAC